AGCGAACGCUGGCGGCAGGCUUAACACAUGCAAGUCGAGCGGGCACUUCGGUGUCAGCGGCAGACGGGUGAGUAACACGUGGGAACGUACCCUUUGGUUCGGAAUAACGCUGGGAAACUAGCGCUAAUACCGGAUACGCCCUUUUGGGGAAAGGCUUGCUGCCGAAGGAUCGGCCCGCGUCUGAUUAGCUAGUUGGUGGGGUAAUGGCCUACCAAGGCGACGAUCAGUAGCUGGUCUGAGAGGAUGAUCAGCCACACUGGGACUGAGACACGGCCCAGACUCCUACGGCAGGCAGCAGUGGGGAAUAUUGGACAAUGGGCGCAAGCCUGAUCCAGCCAUGCCGCGUGAGUGAUGAAGGCCUUAGGGUUGUAAAGCUCUUUUGUCCGGGACGAUAAUGACGGUACCGGAAGAAUAAGCCCCGGCUAACUUCGUG
rnacentral:rRNA from 1 species